rnacentral:tRNA from 2 species
GGGUGACUAGCUCAAUGGUAGAGCAUCAGACUCUUAAUCUGCUGGUUUUGGGUUCGAGUCCCAGGUCACCCA